GACGUGCGAACGAGAGAAGGAACCAAGGGAACCAAAACCCUAAACAACCUAAAAUCAUCAAAUUGAAAGGGGGAUCGAGGGCUGAUUGAAUGCAUGAGUCUAGAUACCCUUUAAUCUAAGUGUAUUGAUCAUAAGGAACGUGUCAAGGAGAGCUCAAGCAUAGGAGGAUAACGGGUCAAGAUAAGGCAAGGUGACAAAUACACUUAUUGGAAUACUCAAGGUAAGUGAUUUCUAUAAUCACUUCUUUAGUUGUUUAAGUAAUAUAAUGUUUUAAUUAUUAAGUUCAUAUGAAGUUGAGGUUAAAUCAAUGGAUUAUUUUGAUAAAUGCACGAAUGGGUCGAAUAAUUCAUAGAUGAAUAACAAGCCGAAUACGUAUAAGUUAAGGAAUUCCUUAACUCGGAUGCUGGACUUCAAGAUCACGUGAUAGAAUAUUAAAUUACAAUCAUAUAGGAAGAAACGUGACGCAAAACGGACGAAAAAUGAGAGAGUUAUGUCCGUUUCAGUAAGGAUUAAUGGCUAGGAAAAGUGCAGAGUUGACACGGCCGGGUGGUGAACUGACACGGCCGGGUGAAGGUUCUGUCAAAAAUAUUAUUUAUGUGAUUUAUGCGCCGUAGGCUUCGGUAUAUUAUCCGUGAACUACGACGGGCCUCCCAAACAUGAUGUCGAGUGUUUCCUUGAUGAUUAUAAGUUGUAAACCCAAGUCUAAGCCUCAUGUAAUUUAUAUAAGAGUGUGAUAGAUGUAUGUAAUGAAGUUGGACAUGUAUUACAUGUAAAUGUAUACAAAAAUACGUACGGAACACGUAGGUAUGAAUACAUGAUUGUAAGUAUGAUUAAAUGUAUAUUAGGUAUGUAGAUGUGUAUGAUUGUAAGUUUGUAUGUGUGCAAGUAUGUGCGAAUGCAUGAUUCGGAUGCAUUUGAGAAUUAGCGUUACUAAUAAUGCCCUUGGGUUUGGAAUAUAAGUUGAUUGGAUGCAUUUAAAUGGUUAACGUCCUUUUUAUGAAGAUGUAGUAAAUGAAUAUGUUGAGAUUACGGGUUUGGCUAACCAAGUUAUUAUUGAGUAUGUUUGAAAGUGCAGGUGAUGAAUGUCGGACUUUCGAAGUGUUGAUAUAAUAAUGAAACGGUUGAAUGUUGAAAGGAUAAUCGGACUGAAGUAACUUAUGCGGUUAGAAUAUGCUAUGGACGUUUUAGUUUAUACAAUAUUAUAUGUUUGGUCGUCACCAUCUACUAACAGGUAAAUCCUCAAUUUUGGCGACUUGGAGAAUCGGAGCGAGCGCGUGUUCGUGUUAUGCGAUACCAAACGCUUCCGCUAGUUUGUUCAAAUGUUUUUGACCCAAAAUUUGUUGUAUUGGUUUUUAGUAGUAUCUUGUUGAACGAAUUGUAGAAUUGUAUCUAGUUUGUUUAUGUUUAAAACAGGGGUAUGCUCGUUUUAUGGACGGGUCAUGCCCGAUUUUUUGUUAAAUUAUAGUUUGAUAAUAUCACAUUUAGGAAGGUGAAA